GUUCCAUGAUGGCCGCCGUAAGUUACGCUAUAAUGGUGGGGCUAACAGUAGGUGGUGAAAGAAACCAUGGACGGCAGAGUGGGGAAGAGAAUAUCCCAGUAGUGAAAUAAUGGGUCGCAGGAAGGGACGGUACUCAAAACUGUCACCGUACGCCAUUGGCAGAAAUCCUAUGGGGCGAGGCAUCGCCACAUGGAUCGUAAAAGGCGGCCAUCAUGGAUUUCAACAUGGCUUCUACUAGUACCUUAACCUUGAAAUAUUCAAGUUCUUACAUUAGAAACGUAAAGCAAAGGUCAUCGUUCACCUGUUCAUAAGGUCAAUAGGUAAUGUGAUAACGACCAUUCAUAAUGGUUACGGACGAAGGAAUUACCGUGCAAACCGACACUUAAGCUUUAUCGUGUCUCUUACCGCGAAGUUAUGUAUACUGUUCUCUUAAAAGUGAACGGUAGUGAGUUGUAACAAGAUUAUUGACUUUAAAUCCUGCCGAAUGACCCUAUGGAAGAUUGAAGCUACAAAUAUAUUGCCAAUAGCAAAGAUCUAAGUAUGUACAUAGGGAAAGAUGUAUGCGACGGGUCCUGAUCAAGUUAUUCUUUGUGAACAAUUAUAUUUCAUUUUUAAUAUUUGACAAAACGUGUAAGAGAAAUAAAACUUAUCGUCGCGUUAAAAUUUGUCAUUUUCAAAUUAAAUGUCGCAUCAAUAUCUAUUAACACAUACUUUUGAAGAUUUAGAGUUUGAAAUAAUGUUGAAUAUAAGCGCAUACUUACAUUUUAUAUAGACUACUUAAUAUACAUAUAUAUAUAUAUACAUUAUAGAAACAAGUAAACUCUAUAUAUAAACGAUGCUUUCAUUCAAUAAAAUUAUAUAUAUAUAUAGGUGUAAAUGUUUCUCACUGACGAUCACUGUGUUACAUGAAUAAAAAUUCAUACAGGGGAGAAAAGAAAUGAAGAAAAAAAAAAAAGAAAAAAAGAGGAAGAAAAAAUAUAUGGAAGAAAAAAAAAAAUAAACAGACCGUCCUUCCUCGAAAACAGAAUGAUAUCGGAAGUUUUAAAAAGCCGGGGAAAGCAACUUGAUCAGCGAGUUCUCUAUCGGUCGGACUCGCGUAUAGCGAUUAAAGAUAAUUUCCGUCACGAACCGCACAUCAUUUACCGCUCUGCGGAUGGUAAUAAAGAUUUUAUGCAUUCCCGUUUACUUCAUCAUUCGUUCAACCAAAUCUAUUGGGUCGUUGAUAAUACGUUCAUGAGUACGAGUAGUAUAUAUAUAUAUAUAUAUAUAUAUAUAUAUAUAUAUAUAUAUAUAUAUAUAUAUAUAUUACCAAGCAUGAACUCGCCUCAGGCGGAAAG